rnacentral:tmRNA from 1 species
GGGGGCGACAUGGCUUCGACGUGGGUUGCGAAGCAGAUGCAGUGCAUACCGAGGACCAGACUACCUCGUAAAUCCAUCUGGAAAACCACAAACGCCAACGACGAGCGUUUCGCUCUAGCCGCUUAAUACCGGCUGGCUCUGCACCGGUUUGCUGAUGGGCCGGGUUGCGCAAGCAGCAGCAGAGUCAUUCACAUCAGCUAAGGAUCUGCCCCGCCGCGUGGCAGACCACGAAAACUCAGCGGAUCGCUUGUGCUCAGCCUGCCCGGCGGCGGAGUACCGGUCAAAUCAAAUGACGAGGCUAAGUAUGUAGUACUGCCUGUAGAGAACUUGCGGACGCGGGUUCGAUUCCCGCCGCCUCCACCA